rnacentral:rRNA from 1 species
UACGGAGGAGGCAAGCGUUAUCCGGAAUUAUUGGGCGUAAAGCGUCCGCAGGUGGCCCUUCAAGUCUGUCGUCAAAGCCUGGGGCUUAACCCUGGAAAGGCGGUGGAAACUGAAGCGCUAGAGUCCGGAAGAGGCGAGUGGAAUUCCUGGUGUAGCGGUGAAAUGCGCAGAUAUCAGGAGGAACACCGAUGGCGAAGGCAGCUCGCUGGGACGGUACUGACGCUGAGGCGCGAAAGCGUGGGGAGCGAACAGG